rnacentral:tRNA from 1 species
CAGAGAAUAGUUUGAUAAAAAUAUUAAUUUUGGAGAUUAAAGUUAAGGUGAUACCUUUUCUCUGA